rnacentral:scRNA from 1 species
CACUGGGGGUGGAUAUUUCACGGCCCACCAUC